rnacentral:misc_RNA from 1 species
AUCUCCGCGCUGAAUUGUACACUGCCGUAAUGUGUUUUCUCCUGCAGUCGUCAUUCGGGAUACCAACGCGUUAUCGUGUGUACGCGUUUUCUUAAACCGACGUACGUGGUGAUCCAUUGUUCGAGGCAUAGCUUGUAAUCUCAUUUUCAAACCCGUCGGAGGGAUGAUUUAUAUCUAGCUCUGAUAACGAAAUAUAGUUAGUGUGUUGAAAAUACAGCUCGAGAAAUAUACUGCUAGCACGACGAAAUCUUGAGAGAGUUCUCUCUUUCUCUCUCUGUUCGCGAGUGUGUGUGCGUGUCAGUGGGCAUUGGAAAAGUUGCUCGUUUUUCGAAAAGUCGUGUCGUCGCCAAGCCAUCAAGCCAAAGAUCCUACGAUAAUUGAUAUACAAGGAUCUGUGUUUGUUUAAAAAACUCUCAGCGUUUGAAACAGCCAGGGUUUGAAUUAUUGAUACGUCCCCAGUCAGGUACAAUACUGACACUUGAAAAUUCUCUCGAUUGCUUGGCAUUUUCGAUGUAAAUUGAGAUGAAACGCGUUCGCGGGGUGGAAGAGAUAGGACCGCCAACCGCGUCACAGUCGCAGCGGCCGCAGCCGCAGCAACCUCAGCAACAGCAGCAACAACAGCAUCAACAGCAGCAGCCACACCAGCAGCAGCAGCUGUCGCAGCAGUUGCAAUUACAGCAUCACAACGUCAGUGUCACGUCGAGCUCGGGUGCAGCCGUCGCUGUUGCUGGCGGCGGCCCCACUGCUGCUGUCGGUGUUGGCCCAGGAUCGCAAAUCGGUCAGACUAUAGAUUAUUUACCUGGCCCGAGCACCUCGUCGGCUGGUAUAAACGUUCAAGCUACCGGCAGACAAUUGCAAGCAAAAGAGAUGCCAGGCAGUAUUCAAUACUCGCAGUCGCAGCAGCAGUACCCUGGCGCGAUUGUCGUUCCUAAUUCUGCGACCGCUCCCAUAAAGACUGUUGAUUUCCAGGGUUACGUGUUGCAGUCCAGUAAUUCAAACAGUGGCUUUCCUGCUAACUCCUCAUGUGCCGCAUCUAUACCAGCAGGGUUAGUAGUUCAUAAUGCUACAAAUUUUGGAAAACAUGCACAAGCUACUACCAGACCAGUUGGUCAAAGCAAAAUGGUACAAGGCAAUCCUCCAACAAUUCAAACGCAAGGGCAUGUCAAUCAAAAUUCUGCUCAGCAGUUUCAAAGGCUCAAAGUUGAAGAUGCGCUAUCAUAUCUCGAUCAAGUUAAAUACAAAUUUAGUGAUCAACCCCAGGUUUAUAAUGAUUUCUUAGAUAUUAUGAAAGAGUUUAAAUCUCAAAGCAUAGAUACUCCAGGAGUUAUUACCAGGGUUAGCCAUUUAUUUAAAGGACAUCCCGAAUUGAUCGUUGGCUUCAACACAUUUCUACCGCCGGGUUACAAAAUAGAGGUUCAGGCAAAUGAACAAGGCUACGCUUUUCAAGUCUCGGUUAGCAUGCCUAGUCCAACAGCCACUCACACCAAUACUACAUCUGCUCACCAAUGUACAGUCAAUGUUGGAUCACCACCUAUUACGAGUCCUCCAAUCCAAUUACCCAAGGCCCAACCUGUUGUACAAAUAAUGCAAGGGGGAGCAACUAUUCAUCCACAAAUAAAUAAUAUUGGCCCAAAUAGCCUUCCAAUGCAUGGAUCUGCAUCACCAGUUCCUGCAUACAAUAACCAUGUGACACAAGCGCAAGCUCAGGCUGUAAGCCAAGCAUUGAGUCAAGCUCAAGAUGGUGUACCAGUGUCAGGUCAACAACAGCAAAAUCAACCAGUAGAGUUUAAUCAUGCGAUUAACUAUGUUAAUAAAAUUAAGAACCGAUUUCAAAGUCAUCCUGACAAAUACAAAAGGUUCCUUGAAAUUCUCCAUACAUAUCAAAAGGAACAACGAAAUAUGAAAGAAUCAGGAAGUGGAAGUGGAGGUAGUGCUGCUGGUAGUGGCAAACAAUUAACAGAAGCUGAAGUUUACAGCCAGGUUGCAAAAUUGUUUGAAAAUCAGGAAGAUUUACUACUGGAGUUUGGCCAAUUUCUUCCUGAUGCUACUAACCAACAAAAUGCACUAGUGAGUAAUCCCGAAAAUAUGCAAACAGAUCAAUUUCUUUCUGCGGUAUUUCAGAAUAAUAAGGUGUGUAAUGUUAAUGAUCACGCAACAAUUGCCAAAAAGCCACCCACCCUGAAACAACAAUACAAUAACGCCGGCCCUGUACCUAGAGAACAAGGGUCGGUUAUUCCUUUCGAUGUACGUGAUCAGCGAGAACGAGAGAAGGAACGUACUGGAAUGAGAGAAGUCAAUGUGCCAAGUCAGAAAUAUGGACACAGUCAGAAUCAAUUAAAAAGGAGUCCGUCAUUUAAUACUACAGUAACAACAAGUAAUUCUCAUCUUCCCCAUGGUCCACCUCCUCCUAAAAAACAUAAAGUAGCGUCUGUUCGGGAUUUAUCCAUAGCAGAAGUAGGGAAGCAUGGAACGUUAGCGGACUACGCCUUCUUUGACAAGGUUCGCAAAGCUCUGCGUUCCCAAGAAGUGUAUGAGAACUUCUUAAGAUGUCUUGCAUUAUUCAACAAUGAAAUCAUAUCUAAGACUGAAUUGGUUACAUUGGUUACUCCGUUUUUGGGACGUUUUCCUGAUCUUUUACGUUGGUUUAAAGAGUUUCUUGGUUAUAUAGACGCAUCGACAUCGCUCUCACCUUCUAACUCUAACUCUAAUUCAGUAUGCAACAUUGAAGCAGUACCAAAUAAUGUAGUUAGGAGUCAUCAAGACAGGCCUCAAGGGGAUCUUGCAAUGGAAAUUGACUAUACGGCAUGUAAACGACUUGGUGCAUCGUAUUGUGCUAUACCAAAAACUUAUAUUCUGCCGAAGUGUGCUGGUAGAACUGCCUUGUGUAAAUCGGUGCUAAAUGAUACUUGGGUAUCGUUCCCGACAUGGUCUGAGGAUAGUACUUUUGUUACGUCAAGAAAAACCUCGUUUGAAGAAAUGAUCUAUCGUUGUGAAGAUGAACGUUUUGAGCUUGAUGUUGUAAUUGAAACAAACGCCGCCACUAUUCGCGUUCUAGAAGCGAUUACUAAAAAAAUGGCCCGAAUGACGCAAGAAGAAUUAUUAAGGUUUAAAUUGGACGAUUGUUUAGGCGGAAAUUCGCCUACGAUACAUCAGCGAGCUAUUCGAAGGAUUUAUGGUGAUAAAGCAGCAGAUAUAAUUGAUGGAUUAAAAAAGAAUCCAGUAGUCGCAGUGCCAAUAUGUCUAAGACGAUUAAAAGCUAAAGAGGAAGAAUGGAGAGAAGCUCAAAAAAGCUUCAACGCCCUUUGGCGAGAGCAAAAUGAAAAGUUUUAUUUGAAGUCUCUCGAUCAUCAGGGUAUUAACUUCAAACAAACCGAUAUUAAAUCGCUCAGAUCGAAAGCCUUGUAUAAUGAAAUUGAGCUCGUAUAUGAUGAGAGACACGAGAAUGAGGAAAAUACUGGCGUUUCAGGAGAUGAGGCUCAUUUAACUUUACAGUAUCCUCCUUUAACGCCCAUUUUGAAUGACGUGUCGAACCUUAUUAUCCAUCAUGUGAAAAGACAAACGUCAAUACAGAAAGGGGAUAAAAAACAAAUAAAAGCAAUACUGAAACAAUUUGUACCCGAUCUAUUUUAUCAUCCAAGACAAGAACUCAGCGAUGAUGAACAAGACGAAGAAAACGACAAAGAUGAUGUGCCCUCCAGCAGUACGGGGAAAAAUACACCUAAUUUGGAUGUUGGCUCUUACAAUGCAGCCGGAUUGCAAGGGAGCAAUAAAAAUAACGACAGUAAAUCACCUGAAACGCCUUCCAAACAUGACGAAGACAACAUGAAAAGAAUGAUUCAAAAUCAUCAUACCAUGAGAGAACCUAAUGAAGCAUACGUCUUUUUCAUGGGCAGCAAUAACUGGUAUCUUUUCAUGAGACUUCAUCAAAUACUCUGCGAUCGAAUAAAUAAAAUGUAUAAUCGAGCCAUGGUUCUUGCUGAAGAAGAAAGGCAGUAUAAACAACAGAGAAAAGAAAGUACAGCGAUUGCCCUUAGAUUAAAGCCUAAAAAUGUACAUAAAAUCGAAGAAUACUACCCUGUUUUUCUGGACAUGAUUAAAAAUCUUCUUGACGGAAAUCUUGACGCUAAUCAAUAUGAAGAUAAUUUAAGAGAAAUGUUUGGUAUCCAUGCCUUCACUGCUUUUACACUUGAUAAAGUUGUAAUAUAUGCUGUGAGACAGCUUCAACAUAUUGUCUGCGAUAAGCCUAGCGUUCAAUGUAUGGAAAUAUUCAGUCGAGAAAGAAAGCGACCAAAAGAGGUUUCUAGUACAGGUGGUCUGUGUCGGACCGCUUAUUUAAGGACUGCCUAUGAAAUGGCAUAUUUCAGAGAUGUCGAACGUUUAAUGACUGACGAAAACAUCUUCAGAAUCGUCAUAUACAAGAAUUGUCUAAAAAUGUUAAUGACGAUGAUUGAUGUCGAGUCCGAGGAUAAUACCCAUUCGAACACUAAUCGUGGUGAUAGAGACAAAGAGACCUCAGUGAUAGUGGCAGAAAAGUGGUCGUCUUACGUUGAGAAUUAUUCGGGUACGGCUAAAGGCAAAUCGACGACGUCGUUAAUAACGACGACGAUUAGUGGUGGUGUAGGAGUGCCAGGACAAAGUUCCAAGGACGUUACUUCCUCAACCGAUUCUAAUGCGGCAGCUAGUCAUCCUGUGAGUAGCGACCAGGCAUCAAAGGGGGGGAGGGGAAGAAAGCGCAAGAAUACUGACGUUAACAAGAAGGAAUCGAAGAGUGAUACAGAGAAUAUGGAAGAUAUGUCUAUAGAAAAAAGUCACAGUGACGAUUUAUAAUGAUUAAUAUCAUUACCAUAAACGUUAUUAUUACUACUACGUACUGCGUGUAAAGAACAACUGAUUCGAGACACAUUUAAAUGAAUCUCUCUCUAUCUCAGUCUCCCUGCGAUGAUUUUUAGGCUCUUUAAAAAUAAAACGUAGAUCUGGGGCUUAGCGCAUAUACUUCUAAGGUUGAUGGGAACGGUUGGAACAGUGGACACAGCAAUGCAGUCAGCGGCAGCAGUGGUAGUGAAACAUUAAGUACAUUUUUGAAGGGU